rnacentral:tRNA from 1 species
GCGAGCGUAACUCAAUUGGUAGAGUCCCUGCCUUCCAAGCAGGUGGUUGACGGUUCGAGUCCGUUCGCUCGCUCCA